UUUUAUUUGAGAGUUUGAUCCUGGCUCAGGAUGAACGCUGGCGGCGUGCCUAACACAUGCAAGUUGAGCGAUUUACUUCGGUAAAGAGCGGCGGACGGGUGAGUAACGCGUGGGUAACCUACCCUGUACACACGGAUAACAUACCGAAAGGUAUGCUAAUACGGGAUAAUAUAUUUGAGAGGCAUCUCUUGAGUAUCAAAGGUGAGCCAGUACAGGAUGGACCCGCGUCUGAUUAGCUAGUUGGUAAGGUAACGGCUUACCAAGGCGACGAUCAGUAGCCGACCUGAGAGGGUGAUCGGCCACAGUGGAACUGAGACACGGUCCAAACUCCUCCGGGAGGCAGCAGUGGGGAAUAUUGCACAAUGGGCGAAAGCCUGAUGCAGCAACGCCGCGUGAGUGAUGAAGGCCUUCGGGUCGUAAAACUCUGUCCUCAAGGAAGAUAAUGACGGUACUUGAGGAGGAAGCCCCGGCUAACUACGUGCCAGCAGCCGCGGUAAUACGUAGGGGGCUAGCGUUAUCCGGAUUUACUGGGCGUAAAGGGUGCGUAGGCGGUCUUUCAAGUCAGGAGUGAAAGGCUACGGCUCAACCGUAGUAAGCUCUUGAAACUGGGAGACUUGAGUGCAGGAGAGGAGAGUGGAAUUCCUAGUGUAGCGGUGAAAUGCGUAGAUAUUAGGAGGAACACCAGU
rnacentral:rRNA from 1 species